rnacentral:rRNA from 1 species
GUAGGUGGCAAGCGUUGUCCGGAAUUAUUGGGCGUAAAGCGCGCGCAGGCGGUCCUUUAAGUCUGAUGUGAAAGCCCACGGCUCAACCGUGGAGGGUCAUUGGAAACUGGGGGACUUGAGUGCAGAAGAGAAGAGUGGAAUUCCACGUGUAGCGGUGAAAUGCGUAGAGAUGUGGAGGAACACCAGUGGCGAAGGCGACUCUUUGGUCUGUAACUGACGCCGAGGCGCGAAAGCGCGGGGAGCAAACAGGGAUUAGAUACCCUGGUAGUCCACGCCGUAAACGAUGAGUGCUAAGUGUUAGAGGGUUUCCGCCCCUUUAGUGCUGCAGCAAACGCAUUAAGCACUCCGCCCUGGGAGUACGGCCGCAAGGCUG